GCCAUUGUGGUGUAGUGGUUUGAACAUUGGACUAUGACUCUGGAAACCUGGGUUCAAAUCCUGGCUCAGCCA